AUGAUCCUUUUUUCAGCUUUGGGCCUCUAUUGCUUUGUCAACACGUGGGGAUUGUUCUUUAAUGGCUAAGGCAAAAGUUGCAGAGUCAGGAGAUGCUGCAGCCUUGUUGGUGAUAAAUGACAAAGAAGAUAUUUACAAGAUGGUUUGUUCUGAAAAUGUUACUAUUGUAAACAUUACAAUUCCUGUCGUGCUGAUUCCAAAGUUGGGAGGAGUUACACUCAACAAAUGUAUAGCAGAUGGAAAGAAAGUGUCAAGAUUGGUUACAAUGAAGGAUUUUUGAAGAGUUGAAGGUAUCCUAUACUUGUUUACAUUCUGAAAAUUUAUGCGUAUCCUCUUUCCUUUUAUUUUUGCAACAAGUUAUUCUCAAAUUCCCCUAGUCUUGGUGCCCGUUAGGCAGCUGUGCCAAUAAAGUUUUCAAAAGUGAGACAAAGACCAAUUCAUUCAAAGAAGCUGUUUGGGAAUUUGAAAGUGAGCUUGGAUAUGACAUGAUCAUUGACAGGAAUUGUAGGCAUAUUCUGUGUUUACUCAGAAUUGGUGCAUUUUGGUAACGAAAAUAAGUUAGCCUUUCAUUCUGGUUGGUUUCUUUUUAAAAAAAGCCAAAACAAAGAUGGGAAAAAGACUGAAACGUUUUGAUGGGAAACUUGGCUAGUUUAGUGAGGGCCACCAUUCAGUAUGAAAAGCACGUGCACUCGGUGUAUAU